GUGGGUAUAGCUCAUCGGUACAGCACGUGCUUAGCAUGCACGGGGUCCUGGGCUCAAUCCCCAGUACCUCCA
rnacentral:tRNA from 1 species